UACGGGGGGGCAAGCGUUGUUCGGAAUUACUGGGCGUAAAGGGCUCGUAGGUGGCCAACUAAGUCACACGUGAAAUCCCUCGGCUUAACCGGGGAACUGCGUGUGAUACUGGAUGGCUUGAGUUUGGGAGAGGGAUGCGGAAUUCCAGGUGUAGCGGUGAAAUGCGUAGAUAUCUGGAGGAACACCGGUGGCGAAGGCGGCAUCCUGGACCAAUACUGACGCUGAGGAGCGAAAGCCAGGGGAGCAACGGGG
rnacentral:rRNA from 1 species